rnacentral:rRNA from 1 species
AAUGGGCGCAAGCCUGAUCCAGCCAUGCCGCGUGAGUGAUGAAGGCCUUAGGGUCGUAAAGCUCUUUCGCCAGAGAUGAUAAUGACAGUAUCUGGUAAAGAAACCCCGGCUAACUCCGUGCCAGCAGCCGCGGUAAUACGGAGGGGGUUAGCGUUGUUCGGAAUUACUGGGCGUAAAGCGCACGUAGGCGGACUGGAAAGUUGGGGGUGAAAUCCCGGGGCUCAACCCCGGAACUGCCUCCAAAACUAUCAGUCUAGAGUUCGAGAGAGGUGAGUGGAAUUCCGAGUGUAGAGGUGAAAUUCGUAGAUAUUCGGAGGAACACCAGUGGCGAAGGCGGCUCACUGGCUCGAUACUGACACUGAGGUGCGAAAGUGUGGGGAGCAAACAGGAUU